rnacentral:lncRNA from 1 species
AUGCCAAAUACAUUUUUACUCAGUCUGGGCUAAACCUCAUUUUAAAAAUUUUCUGGGGAGCAUGGAUCCCCACUGCUAGUGCCCCCUAGUACUUAGUGCCCCCUAGUACUUAGUGCCCUUUUUUUGCAUCUGUAAUUACCUUAGGAUGAGACCCCUGAUCAGGGUCUUAGCUAGGAUUUUAGAUCUUGGGCGUGUUUCUAAAUUACCAGGGUGUGCCCAUGUCAAUUACCUUGAAUGGCCAAAUUCACGGUGUUAAUUAUGCUCGCCAACAACAGACAAUGCCUGUGGUUGUUGUAUGCUUUGCAACCAAAUACAAGGCGAGCAUACGCUCACAUCGCAUACUGACAUGGAAAUAGUAAGUUAUUUCAGCAACCCUUGGGGGUAUUUAAAGCCAUUUUAACACCAUAUGGUUCCCAUUAU